rnacentral:rRNA from 1 species
CCUACGGGUGGCAGCAGUGAGGAAUAUUGGUCAAUGGGCGCGAGUCUGAACCAGCCAAGUAGCGUGAAGGAAGACUGCUCUAUGGGUUGUAAACUUCUUUUAUACAGGGAUAAAGUGAGGCACGCGUGCCUUUUUGUAAGUAUCGUACGAAUAAGGAUCGGCUAACUCCGUGCCAGCAGCCGCGGUAAUACGGAGGAUUCAAGCGUUAUCCGGAUUUAUUGGGUUUAAAGGGUGCGUAGGUGGGCUGUUAAGUCAGUUGUGAAAGUUUGCGGCUCAACUUUAGAAUUGCCAUUGAUACUGGCAGCCUAGAGAGCAGUUGCGGUAGGCGGAAUUCGUGGUGUAGCGGUGAAAUGCUUAGAGAUCACACAGAACACCGAUUGCGAAGGCAGCCUACUAAGCUACCACUGACGUUGAGGCACGAAAGUGUGGGGAUCAAACAGGAUUAGAUACCCCAGUAGUC